rnacentral:lncRNA from 1 species
UGGAACUAGUUAUCUACAACCUACUCUGAGCUUGAAAUGGGUGGAAAGGAGGGUGGUGAGAUUAUAAAAUCUCAGUGAGUAAACAAACAUUAUUUAAAUCAACUAAAGCCGAGUAAAAGGAGACAAUUAAAAUAUCCCAUCAUUUUUAAGUAUUUCACAAUUUGAAAAUUUAUCCCAACCCAUGCAAACGGUUGUAAUUCAUUUAAUUUCUCAUUAAGGCUUAUGACUUCCAUAAACAUUUGGCUCAUGCCAUCAAAUAGUACUUGAUGACACCUUGAUCAGAGGAGUACACUCGAGCCCGCAAAGGCUGUUAAAAUUUCGUAUACACGUAAAACAUAUUUUUAGUUUGAAAAACACAGUCAUUCCUUGGCGUUAGCGGAGUUCAUCAUCACGAGGUGGUUCGACGUGACGUGAACUUUGUCCAUACCUCAGGAGAUACCCUACGCGCCUCUCCGACCGAGGUACAUAUAUAUAUAUAUAUCCGGAUUUCGUGCCCCUCUAAUAGGCUGGUCCACAGAAUUCGCCCACUGCAGCAAGCUAAACUCACCAUACAAUAAAAUUUAAUAACAUGAUAUGACAAUUAUUGUAAUUCACAUCCUUUCAAGGCUAAAUACAUAUUUCAUACAUUUCAACACAAAUAUCAAUUCAGCCAUUCAUGCAAAUAUUGUCAUAAGCCAUUCGAUUUCAAAUCGUAAAUUUACAAUGUAACAAGUGGUAUCCAAUUACUCUAUUUUUCAAAAUCAUUAUUCGAUUUCAAGACAAUUUAUAAAAUCCUUUCAUGUAAAUACAUUUUGUUUGUAAAACACAAAGAUUUACCAUUUAAACUCUUUUUCAUAAAAUUUCACCAAAAUCGAUUAAAAACAUACUUUAGAUAAUAAAAAUGAUGGUAAGGUUACUCACAGUACUAGGAGUUCGAUAUACUCCUAUUCCCGAUCUUCGGGCAUAAUCUCUUUACCCUUGUUAGAGGGCUCACCACCUAUACAUCAUGCGUGACACGAAUUUCAAUAAAUUGUGUCAAUUUAUCAUAAACUAUUUUAGAUUCUCUAAAUCUAAAUGAAUGCAUGCGAUGGGAUGCAAAAUGUCUGAUUAAUCACUUAAAUGUGAUAUUUGACCUAAGUCACACUAUACUCGGCCUAGUCGGCUAAAAUCUCCAAUUUAACUUCAAAUCAAUUCUUCUUACUUUCUACACUCGAAUUAUACCUAAAUUAGCUCAGUGACUGUCAAUGAGAUUCAAUUUAUCAGUCUCGAGUCAAUAAUCACACAUGUUUAUACAUUAGGUAAAAAUUUGAAUUUUCACACCAAAAUUUCUCAUUUAAUUUCUAGCCUCACCAAACAUCAAAUAUCACCCAAAUAUCAUGAAAUAUCAUCAAUUUCAGCCACAAUAUCCUCCCUAGAAAAUUCGGCCAAUGAUGGUGAUGGGGAAAAAUGAAUUCUUUUCUUGUUGUUUUGUUUCUAAAUAUGCUAAACUAACUAAAAACACUAACAUAACUUAAAAUCAAAUCAAUCCAACAUCUUUCUCUCUCCAUACUCAUUUUGACCAGCCAUGUAUUCACCAUGAAAACAUAAAAUCUAACCAUGAAAAAUAAGGAGAAAUGCAUGGGAAAGGUAGAUCACAAGUCAAAAUCAAGAAAAUUUACCUUUGAUUGCUUGAUUCCUUGAAAUCCACCAAUUUUUCUUCAAUUUUCCCACCUAAGGUUCUUGUUUUUUUUCCUUUCCUCCUUUGUUGUUCUUUGGCCGGC